rnacentral:rRNA from 1 species
UACGUAGGGGGCUAGCGUUGUCCGGAUUUAUUGGGCGUAAAGAGCGUGUAGGCGGCCAGGUAGGUCUGCUGUGAAAACUCGAGGCUCAACCUCGAGAGGUCGGUGGAAACCGUCUGGCUAGAGUCCGGAAGAGGAGAGUGGAAUUCCCGGUGUAGCGGUGAAAUGCGCAGAUAUCGGGAAGAACACCAACGGUGAAGGCAGCUCGCUGGGACGGAACUGACGCUAAGGCGCGAAAGCGUGGGGAGCGAACAGG